rnacentral:rRNA from 1 species
AUGACGCUGGCGGAAUGCUUCCACAUGCUAGUCGAACGAUGAACCCUAGCCUUGCUAGUGGGGAUUAGUGGCGAACGGGUGAGUAAUAUAUCGGAACGUGCCUUGUAAUGGGGGAUAACUAGUCGAAAGAUUAGCUAAUACCGCAUACGCCCUGAGGGGGAAAGUAGGGGAUCUUCGGACCUUACGUUAUAAGAGCGGCCGAUAUCUGAUUAGCUAGUUGGUGGGGUAAUGGCCUACCAAGGCUUCGAUCAGUAGCUGGUCUGAGAGGACGACCAGCCACACUGGAACUGAGACACGGUCCAGACUCCUACGGGAGGCAGCAGUGGGGAAUUUUGGACAAUGGGCGCAAGCCUGAUCCAGCCAUUCCGCGUGAGUGAAGAAGGCCUUCGGGUUGUAAAGCUCUUUCGCAAGGGAAGAAAACUUACUUUCUAAUAAAGAGUGAGGCUGACGGUACCUUGAUAAGAA